ACGGGGAAUUAGGGUUCAAUUCCGGAGAGGGAGCCUGAGAAACGGCUACCACAUCUAAGGAAGGCAGCAGGCGCGCAAAUUACCCAAUUCUAACAGCAUAAGAGAGGUAGUGACAAGAAAUAACAGUACAAGGCAGUUAAAAUGCUUUGUAAUUGGAAUGAUAGAAAUUUAAAUACUUUUUAAAGUAUCAAUUGGAGGGCAAGUCUGGUGCCAGCAGCCGCGGUAAUUCCAGCUCCAAUAGCGUAUAUUAAAAUUGUUGCAGUUAAAAAGCUCGUAGUUGAAUUUUUGCUAAAAAUAACCGGUCUGCUUUUAUUAAUAAAAGUGGUAUCUUGGUGUGUUUUUAGCAAUAAUGUCCUUUGAAAUGUUUUUUACUUUAUUGUAAGAGGCAAUUUUCAGGAUUUUUACUUUGAGAAAAUUAGAGUGUUUCAAGCAGGCUAACGUUUUGAAUACUGCAGCAUGGAAUAAUAAAAUAGGAUUUUAGUUCUACGUUAUUGGUUUUAAGAACUAAAUUAAUGAUUGAUAGGAGCAGUUGGGGGCAUUUGUAUUUAACUGUCAGAGGUGAAAUUCUU
rnacentral:rRNA from 1 species